UAUAAACAAACAUUUAUAUAUUUGAAUCAUAAAACAAAACGUAAAGCACCCAAUUUUAAGUACAAAGUCUAUUCUUUAAGAUUUUGAUAGUCUAUUGCUCUUAAAGUUCCUUCCUUUCUGGAGUUUUUGAGAAUCCAAGGACUUGAUAUAUACACUUGUUUAAACCCCAACUCAAGAUUUUCUUGCAAUUGAAAAUUUAAGGUAUGCGCUGUUUAGCAUUGCUGUUUUCUGUUUUUUAAGUUUCUAUUAUAUGGGUUUUGCAUUUGUAUUGCUCUAGGUUCAGAAAGUUCAUGUCUUUUCUUAUGUUUUUGUAUCUUCUGGGAAAUUGAUUCUGACCCUAUUGCAUCUUAGAGGGUUUUUUACUUGUAUAUGGUAAUUGGGUUUUGAUUAUAUUGGUGGUUAUAUUGGGGGUCACCCUGUUUGUAUCUGGAUGUUGUUGUAGUGUUUAUUGAGUUGUCUUUAGAUAGUUUGUGGGAGAUUUUGUUUGAAUUGGGAAAAUGCCUUCUACGGAUAGCCCGGGUUUAUCAAUGCCAUUCGCUACAUUUCGUCGAUCAGUUUUUGGUUUAGGGAAUGAUAGAAUUCAUUCCUUGGAAUCGAAUCGUAGUCCACUUGUCCAAAACACUGAGUUUGAGUCAUUUCAGAAUAAAGUCUAUAAGAGAUUUCAUGAUCUCUCGAUUGCCAACUGCCAAGGCUGAUGAGUUUCUUUCACUUACAUGGAUAAGUAAGUUACUUGAUACCUUGAUUGAUUUCCAAGAGGAAUUUAGGGUCCUAUUAUGUAAGUAUAAGGUUGAUAUGUCGAAACCGCCUUUAGACAAGAUGAUUCUGAUUACUUUGAGAGGAGCAUCAAGGUGCUUGACAUAUGUAAUGCAACUAGAGAUGGGGUUGAUAUGAUUAGGCUUUGGAACAAGCAUUUGGAUAUGGUUCUAAGUGCUUUUGGUUCUCGACAAAGGAUCAUUGGUGAAGGCACGUUUCGUCGAGCAAGAAAAGCUUUGACAGAGUUAGCACUCGUGAUGCUUGAUGAUAAGGGCUACGGGAGUGUUGUCUCACACAUGAAUAAGGUCUUUUGGGUGGCAUAAUAAGGGGAAAGAACAGCACUAUCGUUUACAAGGACACUCAAGGUCUCUGUCUUGGAGUGUAUCACAUUCGUGGUCAGCAACAAAGCAGCUUCAAUCCAUUGCAAACACAGUAGUUCCACCGCGUGCUCAUGAGAUCACAGAAACUAAAGGGCUUGCAGUUCCCAUCUUCACAAUGAGUUUUGUGCACAUGUUUGUACUGUGGGCUCUGGUUGCUGCUAUUCCUUGUCAAGAUCGCAGCCUUCAAAUUCAUUUCUCUAUUCCAAGGCAGUUUUCAUGGUCAACUCCUUUUUACUUGAUUCAUGUCAGGAUCAUGGAUGAAUCUAAGAAGAGAGAUCACAGAAGCUCCAUUGGGUUACUUCAGGAGAUAUAUCAGCUAGAAAGUAGUGUUAGACGCAUCACAGAUAUUGUAGAUUCUGCCCACUUUCCUAUGACAGAGCAACAAAAGGAAGAAUCGAAGUCUGCGGUUAAGGAGAUAACUUUGGUAUGUGAAGCUUGUAAAGAUGGAAUGGAUCCCCUUGAACGACAAAUAAGGGAAGUGUUUCGCAGAAUUAUGAGUUUCCGGAUUGAGGGUCUUGCAAUACUAGGGAGGGAAGACUAGCCUUGUUAAUUCAGACCACCACUAAUGAACAGCAAAAAAAAAGAAGAAUAUCGGACGAAUCUGGGAAUUAGUGUUUUGACCAGCCUCGCUCAGAAAAUGUUCUCCCUAUUGUUAUUUAGCAGGUUUGAUUGAAGGAGCAAGUUUGUGUAUAUGAGAAGAUUCUUUUAAAGGAUAUACGCACACACACCAUUGCUUAUCUGUUUUUAUUGUAUAUCAUCUUGGCCUUCCAUUGAUGAUGAUUAUGAAUAUGAGAAGUUGAUUUGAGUUUGUUUUAAUCUUUUGGUGCGCACUGCACAAUGCACUGCACUAUGGUAGAUGUUUUGAACGGCGAUUGAGAUGAUUCAUUGACAAAAGUAAGAGUUUGUCGGAUGUGGGAGUAGACUGUUAUCUCAUGAAUUUAAAUUGAUGUUUUUGCGGACAACCAAUUCAAAGAAUUUGGAGGAAGGAGUCACUAAUAUACACCUGCAUGGAUUGGAAUUAAUAUGUCCCGACAUGAUUAAUGUUCGUAUAACUAGAACAUAAUGUUUAUCCCUAUUAAAACUGGGGAUGUUUUCGGAUUUGCAUAUCAAUAUCUUGUUGAUUUUUACGUA